rnacentral:rRNA from 1 species
GAUGAACGCUGGCGGCGUGCCUAAUACAUGCAAGUCGAGCGAACGGACGAGAAGCUUGCUUCUCUGAUGUUAGCGGCGGACGGGUGAGUAACACGUGGAUAACCUACCUAUAAGACUGGGAUAACUUCGGGAAACCGGAGCUAAUACCGGAUAAUAUUUUGAACCGCAUGGUUCAAAAGUGAAAGACGGUCUUGCUGUCACUUAUAGAUGGAUCCGCGCUGCAUUAGUUAGUUGGUAAGGUAACGGCUUACCAAGGCAGCGAUGCAUAGCCGACCUGAGAGGGUGUAGGGCCACAGAGAGAGUGGACCGCGGCACAGGCACCGAGGGAAGGCCGAGAUAGGGACUCGACGGAGAAGGGGGGAAGAUUGAAGAAGCAGCGCAGGGUGGAUGAUGAGGGUCUUCGGAUCGGAUGACGGUCUUAUGGGGGUAAACCAUUUGUGUAAGUGACGAUGCUCAUCGUGACGGUACCUAGACAGAAAGCACCGGCUAACUACGUG